rnacentral:misc_RNA from 1 species
GAUGAAGAACGUAGCGAAAUGCGAUACGUAAUGUGAAUUGCAGAAUUCAGUGAACCAUCGAAUCUUUGAACGCACAUUGCGCCCGCUAGUAUUCUGGCGGGCAUGCCUGUCCGAGCGUCAUUUCAACCCAUCAAGCUUAGCGCUUGUGUUGGAGCCCUGCGGCCGCCGCAGCCUCCUAAAAUCAGUGGCGGGCUCGCUAUCACGCUGAGUGCAGUAGUAUUCUUCUCACUCCUGUGGUGUAGCGGGUAACCAGCCGUAAACCCCCCCAUCUAUAAAGGUUGACCUCGGAUCAGGUAGGAAUACCCGCUGAACUUAAGCAUAUCAAUAAGCGGAGGA